GCCAGAGUGGCCGAGCGGUUCAAGGCGCUUCAGUUCGGAACCGAGAGCCGCUACGGUCGCAGGUUCGAAUCCUGCCUCGGGCA